UACGGGAGGCAGCAGUGGGGAAUAUUGGACAAUGGGCGAAAGCCUGAUCCAGCAAUGCCGCGUGAGUGAUGAAGGCCUUAGGGUUGUAAAGCUCUUUUACCCGGGAUGAUAAUGACAGUACCGGGAGAAUAAGCUCCGGCUAACUCCGUGCCAGCAGCCGCGGUAAUACGGAGGGAGCUAGCGUUGUUCGGAAUUACUGGGCGUAAAGCGCACGUAGGCGGCUUUGUAAGUUAGAGGUGAAAAGCCCGGGGCUCAACCCCGGAACUGCCUUUUGAUACUGCAUGGCUUGAAUCCAGGAGAGGUGAGUGGAAUUCCGAGUGUAGAGGUGAAAUUCGUAGAUAUUCGGAAGAACACCAGUGGCGAAGGCGGCUCACUGGACUGGUAUUGACGCUGAGGUGCGAAAGCGUGGGGAGCAAACAGGGAUUAGAUACCCGU
rnacentral:rRNA from 1 species